rnacentral:rRNA from 1 species
UACGAAGGGGGCUAGCGUUGUUCGGAAUUACUGGGCGUAAAGGCGCGUAGGCGGUGUGUCAAGUCAGGCGUGAAAGCCCCGGGCUCAACCUGGGAACUGCGUCUGGGACGGGGUGGCUAGAGAUCGGGAGAGGAGCGUGGAAUUCCCAGUGUAGAGGUGAAAUUCGUAGAUAUUGGGAAGAACACCGGUGGCGAAGGCGGCGCUCUGGACCGAUACUGACGCUGAGGCGCGAAAGCGUGGGAGCAACAGGG